CCAGCACACCAUUACACCUCAGCUGGUGAAGGACCAGGAAGUUCUCCAUCAGACCUUUGAGGAAAUCGAACACAAUUGAGGCUGAUUGGUUUUGGCCAAGGCAUGGAGUUGAAACCUAACUACACUCAACACAUGAUGAAAUUGGCUAAUAAAGCCAAUAAAAUGUGACAUUGGAUAUGUGCAGCAGCCACCCAGUAUGUUUUGUAUGUGGACAAAGGACAAAUAUAGCCACCUAAGUCUUUCCUGACAUCAUGGUCCACAGGGAGAAUGGCAGAUUUCCAUGUACUGUUUCAGAGGAUGACCGUUGGAUACAGGCUGGGCUGCACCAUAUGUUUACAGCUGUAGUGUAGAGCUGUGUGAGCAGAAGUUUCCCAUUUGAAUUGAAUCAGCACCAUCUAAUGUUAAUCAUGUAAAAAAAAGUAAGUACCGCUUCACGACUCUUGGCCCUCAGCUUGUUGACCUGGGACUCAGCGAUGUCAGCACGUUCCUGAGCCUCCUCAAGCUCAUGCUGCACCUUCCUGUACCUGGACAGGAAGCCACGGCAGAGGGCCUGAGUCAUUGUGACCAGAGUUGCCAAUUUCUCAUCUCGCAUCUCCUCAAGGACACCCAGCAGACCAGCUUUGAAGAACACCUGUGGAUAAUUUCAAGAGUCACCUCUGCUUGAAGUCACCAUAAAUGAUUCUGCUGGGGAAGCCCUUCCUGCAGAUUCUGAUACCCUCCAGCACACCAUUACACCUCAGCUGGUGAAGGACCAGGAAGUUCUCCAUCAGACCUUUGAGGAUAACAAACACAAUUGAGCUUCACGGCUCUUGGCCCUCAGCCUGUUGACCCGGGACUCAGCGAUGUCAGCACAUUUCUGAGCCUCCUCAAGCUCAUGCUGCACCUUCCUGUACCUGGACAGGUAUAGACCAAGAGACCUCAUAAGGAAGGACUGGAUAACACAGUACGCCGACUUUGACGUCCCCUCCACCUCCCCUCCAGCCACCUCUGUCAGCAGUCAACGUCCAUCGGGCAUGGUCUGCCUACCACAUCAUCUUCCUUCAGCCACCGCCACCAGUUGGUCCCCGUCUCGUCGUGGGGGGGUAGGCUCCCCGCCCCUGCCUUCAUCCAUCGGCAGGAGACGAGAUCCGCUCAUCGCUGGACGGA